rnacentral:ncRNA from 2 species
CCCCAGAUUCGUGGGGAUUUGAGACCGGCUUGCGCCCACGUUAAACAAACAGCUAAAAGGGUCGUGUGACGAAAGUC